UUAUCCUCUUUUUAUUAACA
rnacentral:tRNA from 1 species